GGGGAAUAUUGGACAAUGGGGGGAACCCUGAUCCAGCCAUGCCGCGUGUGUGAAGAAGGCCUUAUGGUUGUAAAGCACUUUAAGCGAGGAGGAGGCUACUGAGACUAAUACUCUUGGAUAGUGGACGUUACUCGCAGAAUAAGCACCGGCUAACUCUGUGCCAGCAGCCGCGGUAAUACAGAGGGUGCGAGCGUUAAUCGGAUUUACUGGGCGUAAAGCGUGCGUAGGCGGCUUUUUAAGUCGGAUGUGAAAUCCCCGAGCUUAACUUGGGAAUUGCAUUCGAUACUGGGAAGCUAGAGUAUGGGAGAGGAUGGUAGAAUUCCAGGUGUAGCGGUGAAAUGCGUAGAGAUCUGGAGGAAUACCGAUGGCGAAGGCAGCCAUCUGGCCUAAUACUGACGCUGAGGUACGAAAGCAUGGGGAGCAAACAGGAUUAGAUACCCUGGUAGUCCAUGCCGUAAACGAUGUCUACUAGCCGUUGGGGCCUUUGAGGCUUUAGUGGCGCAGCUAACGCGAUAAGUAGACCGCCUGGGGAGUACGGUCGCAAGACUAAAACUCAAAUGAAUUGACGGGGGCCCGCACAAGCGGUGGAGCAUGUGGUUUAAUUCGAUGCAACGCGAAGAACCUUACCUGGCCUUGACAUACUAGAAACUUUCCAGAGAUGGAUUGGUGCCUUCGGGAAUCUAGAUACAGGUGCUGCAUGGCUGUCGUCAGCUCGUGUCGUGAGAUGUUGGGUUAAGUCCCGCAACGAGCGCAACCCUUUUCCUUACUUGCCAGCAUUUCGGAUGGGAACUUUAAGGAUACUGCCAGUGACAAACUGGAGGAAGGCGGGGACGACGUCAAGUCCUCAUGG
rnacentral:rRNA from 1 species